CUCCCCCUGACCCCCACCCCUGAACGGUGGGCGGGGGCCCUAAAUUUAGCAUGAUCAGGGGUGGGGGCCAGGGGGAGGACAUUAGGUCCUCCCCAAUUAGUAUUUAGGGCCCCCACCCACCGCUCAGGGGUGGGGGCCAGGGGGAG